UACGGGGGGGGCAAGCGUUGUUCGGAAUUACUGGGCGUAAAGGGCUCGUAGGUGGCCAAUUAAGUCAGGCGUGAAAUCCCCAGGCUCAACUUGGGAACUGCGUCUGAUACUGGUUGGCUUGAAUUCGGGAGAGGGAUGCAGAAUUCCAGGUGUAGCGGUGAAAUGCGUAGAUAUCUGGAGGAAUACCGGUGGCGAAGGCGGCAUCCUGGACCGAGAUUGACACUGAUGAGCGAAAGCCAGGGGAGCAAACGGG
rnacentral:rRNA from 1 species